CACGUAGGGCGCAAGCGUUGUCCGGAAUUAUUGGGCGUAAAGAGCUCGUAGGCGGACUGUCACGUCCGCUGUGAAAAGCUAGGGCUUAACCCUGGGCUUGCAGUGGAUACGGGCAGACUAGAGGUAGGUAGGGGAGAAUGGAAUUCCUGGUGUAGCGGUGAAAUGCGUAGAUAUCGAGAGGAACACUAGUGGCGAAGGCGAGACUCUGGACAGUUUCUGACACUGAUGCACGAAGGCCAGGGUAGCGAACGGGG
rnacentral:rRNA from 1 species